AUGCGAGGCUGGGGCCGGUUGCCUACCGGCCGCUUCUCGCCGAGGCAGUCCAGACUUUUCCCCCGGCGGUGCCCGCUCCAAGACAGCAUCUGUCAACGCUCCUCUUCUCCCCUCCUCCUCCUGCCGGGCCGGGCUCCGCCGGCUGCGGCCGAGAGGACGCGGGACCCGGCGCGGUGAGCCCAUCAGCUGUCAGGCGAGCGGCGAAGCGGCUGGAGGGCGGCGAGAGACACACAAAGAACGCGGUGGGCGGCGGCGGCGAAAGGGGACGGCAACUCCUCCCCGCGCCCGCCGGUGCCACCGCCGGCCGUGCUUGUUCCGAGGCCGCGCAGACAAUGCGGCCGGGCUCGUCCCCGCGUGCCCCAGAGUGCGGAGCGCCCGCGCUCCCCCGACCCCAACUUGACCGUCUCCCGGCUCGCCCAGCCCCCUCCCGGGGUAGGGGCGCCCCCUCCCUCCGGUGGCCGGCGAAGGAAGUCGGUCCGCGGCCGCAGAUCCCGGCAACUUGCGAACCGGGAAAAGUUUGCGGCGCCUCCGCGGGGCGGCGCGACGCGGCCCGCCCCUCGCGUCCGCGGUCAUCGCGGGUGACUUUCUCGACUCGUCGUCAGCCGGGGCCGCAGCGCGGCCGGUGGGGACUGCGGGGCGGGCCGGAGUCCGUCCGAGGGCUCCCGCACCUCGGGCUGCGGGAUUUCAGGUACUCCACUGGGCAUUUUCUCUUCAUGGAGCUUAUAGCAACAAAAGUGUUUUACAAAAGCACCAGACAUGUUGGCAUCAUCUCUUAGUUGGGCCAUGUGGCCAGGGAACCCUUCAUGAAACCACCUCUGCAGGUCCUGGAGAGUUGCUGUAGAAGAAGGAAAAGAGAGGAAGACAACACAACACAGGAGGGGAUAAGUACCUCUGGACACAAUGGAAGUAGUAGUUGUUGAGCAGAGGGAAAGGGAUAGGAGAAGGAUGUGGACUGCAGUGCUGCAGUGCCAGGUAAUAACUUUGAUCAUGUACCUCCUUGGCUCAGGUGCUGUCUCUUCUACUCUCCUCCUUACUUGUACUACCUUAUUUAGCACUUAAUUAUAUACUUUCUUGACUCACUUUGAGACACACUGAUUAUGUGGUCUGCCUCAAAGACAGAAUCCUAGUUUUGGAUUUUAGCAUUACUGAUCUAUAGCCUUGCAGGGGCUUAAGGAUGGCAGCUGUCUCUCUCCCUUGGGAUCUAGCUUUUGCAAAUAUUGAAGGGAAGAGAUUUCUUUGAUCUUAUAGGAAUAGAUCCACAGUUCCUCUCCAGAUUUGCUUUUAUAGAGAAGUGUGUGUCACCAAAACAAUGGAGAUACGGUCAGAGAGGCCCCUACCCCCAGAAUUUUAAUAUAAUUUUACUUUCUGGGGCAUUUAUUCUUGACAAAUACUUUCUCUCCUAUCAGCUCACUUGUUCCUCACAAAAACCCUAUAAGAUAUUAAUAUUAUUAAACAGACCCCUAUGAAGCACCUCAAGUCUUUCUCUCUUCCCACUUCCAUUCUUGCACACCUUUUGCUAGACUAGUCUCUGCGUUCAUCACAUCAGGUUUCUAAAAUAAAAGUCCCCUAAUAACUUUCUAUUUGUUCUCUCAUCAUAUUGAACCUUUUUUGCCUGGCUUAUAAGGUGGCCUUAAAACCCCAUUUUCCUCUAAACAUUGUCUCUGUAGUUCAGGAAUAUGGCAGGCUCAACACUAUGCUUGAGCCCAUAUUGCUUCCCUCAUUAGUGAUGCCUCCUCUCAGACCACCCAGAUUCUACUCAUUCUUCAAUUUCCAGCUUCUCCUUGGAGCCUUCCCAGAUCAUUAGCUUCUUAAAAAUCCCAGCUUUCUCUGAAUUCUGAUGGUAGCCCCCGUUAUUUGGACAAUUAUGUCCUGGUCUUAAAGUCCUAAUGGGAAAAAAAAGUACAUGAUGGACUUCAUGUAGAGAAGAAAGCACUGGACUGAGUUUUAAGACAGCUGCUAAGGAGCUGUGUGAGCCAAACCAGGUUACUUUACCUCUCUGGAUCUAUAUUUGCUGAUCUGUUAAGUGGAGACAAUUGGGUCAGAUAAUCUUGGUGGUCUUUGCUUAUUCUGAGGUUCUUGGACAACUUGGCCUAGUUCACGUGGGAUGGGAUUGAAGAUCUUACUGAGUUCUUGGAUGGAAAUGUCAGUAAUGGGCACUUAGUGCCUUCAGGACUUGUUCUAUACUAUCCCAGAAAUUUCUGAUGCUAAACUUGGCAAUUUUUAAAUGUCAUAUUCCUUUUCUCCAAACUCUUUAACCACAAGAAUUCAGGGAAGGUUAUGGGGGGUGACUUAGUUAUCUGGAUAAUACAUAUUGUGGACAAUAUAGCAUUAUCCUUGGGAAUGAUUUCAUAUUGUUGAAUAAAUAGGAUCAACUUCUUGAUAAACCUUAGUCCCAAGCAUUUCAUCUUCAUUGGAUAGUGUUACAUAGUAAUAUAUUUAUGUUUUCUUUUAAUCAUUUCAUAACUUGGAAAAUACUAACAUAGUCAAAACUCUAGGGUAGGUGAUACAUGAGUUUCUGUAGUAAUCUGGUUGGAGACAUGUUGUAAUUCUGUAUAUAUAUGUACAUUUAUCCCAUGCAUGUUAUGCCUAAACUAAGACGGAUACCCCUGAAUUAAGAGGUGCUGUUAUACAUUGACCAGGCUUAAGAAUAUCUCUUUAAAGUGUGUCGACAUUUAAUUGACCUUUGGAAGUUCAUUCUGUUAAUCAUACUCAAAGUGCUAAAGCUAUGGUUGACUGCUCUGGUGUUUUUAUAUUCAUUCGUGCUUUAGCAUAUAAAUUCUUCAGCAUAAUUGCUACUUAUUUAGCAAGAGUUUCCUUUAUUUGAAAAUGUGAGUUGUGCUUGUAUUUUUGUGUCUUUCUUUCUUUCUUUCUUUUUUUAAACUUUGCUUCAGGCUGGGUAGUGGUAGAGGUUUGAAUUAAAAUGUUUUCCUGUCAGUAGUUGUAUGAGGUGUGGCUUCUUAAUCUAGAAGUAAUGGAAAUUUCUUGCUUAAAUGAAGUGCACUUUUCUUCCUGCAGAAGUUAGAACUCUUUUAGACAAGCUUAACACUUCAAAACUGUAUAUCUUUAACAGAAACUUUUGGAAAUUUUUAAAUUCCAUUUGUGUAGAUUAAAAAUAUCAAUGCUAAUACUUUCUAUUAAAUAAGGAUUUAUCUAUUUUCAUAAAACCUCUAAUUAUAUUCCUUGAAUUGCUAUGAGUAGAAUUUUGUUGUAAACACAAUAUUUUUAAAAAGUCAAAUAUAUUUUAAAAAUCUUAACAUUAUAUUACUAUAACUUAGAGAACAGGUGUUUACAUGUUUAAAAUUUUCUAGGCCUUAAAUUUGUGAAAUCAGUCUUUCAGAAGUUAUUUUUAAUAUAGUUAUCUGUGUUACAGGUUUAUAAGUUGACAUUUCAAUUUAAAAUUUUUUCAAUUUAUAUUUCAAUGACCAGGAAAAAAUAGUUAAACUUAUUCCUAAAUUUUAAUAGAAAAAUAAAAAACCACAUAGUUGUUAAUUUCUGGUAAUUUAUCUUGAGACUCCAGGCAUGUUUUUAGAACAUUUUUACCUUAAAAGCAAUUUUGAAAUAGGGAAAUUAAAGUUUAAAGCAGAGUUUUCACUUUAAUGAGGUAAUUUUAUACUUCCCAGAUAGGUAGGCCCAUAUUCAAGAACACUCUGAUCUCUGUUUAUAGUAAGUUUUGAUGCCAUUAUAUCAUUUACUUAUUCACGCAUUAUAAGCAUAGUAGAUAGCCCCAUUGUCACGAAGCUGGCAUUAUUUUCUUGUCUGUCAUUCAAUAUUGUCCCCUUUUUUUUUUCUGUUUUCAUCAUAGCCGUCCUUUUCAUUUUAUUGUAGCCCUGACUCGAAAUGAAAGUAAGUUUGAACUCUUAAAAAAGAGUUCCUCAAACUCUUUUUUAAGAAUAUACAGUGAAAUGUCUUAAAUAAUAUUAUCUAAAUAAUACCUAAAGAAUGCAAAUGACUUGCAAUGCUGAAUAGUCAGACACAGGAUGUUCCAUGCUAAGGGUAGACUCAUAUUUCCACUUUAUAAAAUGUGGUUUCAGAAAACAAAUAGAUGUGUUUCUUCCUUAAUAAUUAGUGUUUCAGGACCAAAGUUGACUAAAUAUGGAAGUUUAAGAUAAAACCCGGUUUCUUAGGGAAUCUUUCUCAGUCCUUAGUAAUUCUGUAGAAUUGAUGAUAGAGUGGCAACUUCAAUACACUCAGUAUUCUUUUCUGUUUGAAGUCUGUUUUGCCAUUGGAAAAAACUUAUUGUUGUUUGAAUUUGGGUAUAUGUAUUCACAGAUGGUUUACUUUAUUUUUAUUUUGUUUAAACAAAUACUUUCAUGUCCCAAACACUGAGACAUGUUUCAUGUCCUAAACACUUUAUAAAUAUUAGAAUAUUUAAUCCCCUUAACUCUGUAGUUAUAAUUAUCUUCAUUUUACAAUUGAGAAAACUAAGAUACGACGUUUUAUUUAAUGGUAACGCCUUAAGUAAGGGGAGAGUGAUAAGUGUAAGCAGAGUGGAAAACUUAGUAGUGCUAAGGAGCAACAGAAGUAUGUGCAAGAGUUUGGGAAGAUGUGUCUGCUUGGAAAGGAUCAGGGACUCAGCUGGGAUCAGUCUUAAAGAGCAACAUGUCCUCAUUCCUCAAUUUUAAGCCUUUGGGCUCUAGAAGUAAAGGGCAAACUUAGAGGAGGCACUCCUCAGGUUUCAGCUGCCUGUUCCGGCCUGGUGAGGUGGCUGUACUGGCUCAUGUGUUUCUCAUAGGGCUACAUGAGCCUUUAUGUCUUACCUCCUCCUCAUUUCUUGGCUGACUCCUGCUUUUUUGGAGGGUUUAACUUCUCUCUCAGCUAGAAGGUUAGGCAUUGCAAAUACCAGUGGAUAAUUUUUUUCUUAGCUUUAACCCCAGCCCAUUUCAACCCCCUCUUUGCCCUUUGUAUAUUCUUUUGAAAAUAUGAUCCAGUAGUGUUUAUGAAUGUGUGUUGUGUAAAAUUUAGAGAUUGAUGUUAAACAACAGAAUUAAAGGACAAAGCUGUCUUUUUUGUUGGAAUUGGGGAUGGGAGAGCAGCUCAAAGUGGGAAAUAUGGAGAAAGGAGAGACAUUGUGGAAAAGAAGAGAUAAAUUGAGGGGAAAAAAAGAGGAUGAAAAAAUGAAGAGAGAGAAUUACUGAUGUGCUUCACACCCACACCUCCUCUCCAACUUCACAGUAACAGAGGCAAUGUCACUAUCUUUUACCUGACAAGUGCUUUACCAGGGAGUUGUGCCUGGCAUCGUGGGAGUGGAAAAUUUUUCCCUUUUGCAUUUUGAGACUUGGGUGUGCUGCUUUAAGAUGCCACUGGUAUCUAAGUAAUGUUUGUUUAUACUGGAUAUUUUUCUCUGUAGCCUUUGUGGAUUGGACUUAUAAUAUAAACAAUAUUGUUAGCAGAACUGCAGGUACUCUAUUGCUAUGUUUAUUUUAUUAGUUAAAAAACUACCAGAGCCCUAGGACUUCUGAGCACAUUUAGAAAAUACCAGAGGCAAUUUUAAGACUAGCAUUAGAAAGAAAGAAAAGAAUAAGAAUAAAACUAAGACUUGCAUACCUUAGAAUCCUAACCAAUGUGGUGAUUUUUAAAAAUUAAUGUUUCAGAGACUCUAAAUUAGGGUAGUUGGUUUCAUCAAUUACAUUUUUUAAGUUAAUAUAAAGUGCUUUUGUAUGUAAAUUCUCUUAAUAGAUAAUUUAGGUAAAAUGAAAGUGUGGCAUUUUUUGUUCCAUAGAAUGUAAAACUAACGUCAGAAUAAGAAUUCUUUUGGGAAUUUAGGAUUUUUUUGAUGCUUCUCAAAUCAUCUGUAAUGACUUUUAUUUAUAGAAAAGGUAGAUUAUUCAUUAGUUUUUAUGAAAAACACUCAGUUUAAAUAGCCGGGUAUGGUGGCGCAUGGCUGUAGUCCCAGCUACUCAGGAGGCUGGGCACGAGAAUUGCUUGAACCUGUGAGGCAGAGGUUGCAGUGAGCCAAGAUCGCACCACUGCACUCCAGCCUGGUCCAGAGUGAGAUUCCGUCUCGAACAAAACAAAACAAAAAUAUUGAGCUAAUCUAAAUGGUAAAAAUCUAGAUUUGAAGAAAUUUAUUUUAAAAUAGUUGUUCAUUUGUCAAAUAGAAAAGUAUGAUCUUAGCAGGUUUGGUUAGAUCCCUAUCUGAAACAAAGUAAACUAAAGAUGUUUUUCUUGAUCAAUGCAUAGCAAUAACUGCUGUUCAAACAUGUGAGGAAUCACCAGUAAAUUGGGGGAUAGAAAGCAGGAAAAGGAGCUUUUUUCUCUUAUUUUUUUUCAUUUAUCAGUUUUUCCCAUUUGUCCAUCCUUUCCUAUAAUCAUGGAAAUUUUUAUUUUUUACACUCCUCUCCCCAUUUUUUUAUCCUAGAUUGCCACCACACCAAGGUUUUCUAGAGUUAGGCAGAAAGAGAACCUGGGCCUAGAUGCUAAUGGAAACUAUCCCAUGCUUUCUCAGACUCUCUUUCCUCCCCAGAGACAAGAGGAGCAAAACAGGAGUUGAUGGCUCAUUGCUGUUGCUUCUGUGGCUGCCCUGUUUGGUUGACCUGAGCUUUUUUUAAAAACCUCCACUCUUGACGCUUAACUCUAUGAAUAAAAUUAGGGCCAGUCACACUGUAUUUUCAUCAUCAGUUAUCCCUAGUGAUUCAAAUUUAGCACAAACCUGCUGUGAGUACAUAUUAAUUAGGUGAAUACAGUAGAAUGCAAUCAUAACAUGAGUCUUUUAAUAACUAUUCUUUGUUUGAUUUUUAUUUUAGAAGUUUGAAGUUAUUUUGUUGAAAAUCUAGAAAAUCUUUAUGUGAGCAACUGAGGUUCGGGUAGCCCACAACAGUUUAAAUCAAACAUUAACUUGCAGUAAAACACUACUGAAAGUGUCUUUGAUUUUGAGGUGCAGAGAGCUGUUUCAAGUUAAGUUGCUAUAUUAGUCUGUUCUCAUGCUGCUAAUAAAGACAUACCUGCAACCGGGCAAUUUAUUAAAAAAAAAAAGAGGUUUAAUUGACUGACAGUUCCACAUGGCUGGGGAGGCCUCACCGUCAUGGUGAAAGAGCAAGGGAUGUCUUACAUGGUGGCAGGCAAGAAGUUUGUGCAGAGGAACUCCUGUUUAUAAAACCACCAGAUCUCAUGAGACUUACUCACUACCAGGAGAACAGGAUGCGGGAAACCACCUCGGUGAUUCAGUUAUCUGCACCUGGCCCCACCCUUGACACAUGUUGAUUAUUACAAUUCAAGGUGAGAUUUGGGUAGGUACACAGCCAAACCAUAUCAGCUGCCCAUUCUCCUGUGCAGUGACAUAAAGGUCUGAUAACCUGAUUUAAAGCUUGGACUCUAAGAUUUUUUUUUUUCUUUUUUUGAGUCAGGUUAUCUCUGUCGCUCAAGCUGGAGUUCAGUGGCAUGAACAGGGCUCAUUGCAGCCUCAACCUUCCAGGUUCAAGUGAUUCUCUUGCCUCAACCUCCUGAGUAUCUGGGGCUACAGGCAUGUGCCACCGUGCCAGGCUAAUAUUUUUAUUUUUAUUUUUGUAAAGAUGGGGUCUCACUUCUGGGCUCAAGCAAUCUUUCCUCAGCCUCCCAAAGUGCUGGGAUUAUAGGUGCGAGCCACUGCACCCUGCUGUAAAGAAUUUCAUAUCCCUGUUUUCGGUGUGCUGUGUCACUGUUUGCCAUGGGUAAAGGUAUAUGAAUCUCUUUUAUUUUGCUGCUUGCAACCCAAUUCCCAUGCCAAACCCAAUUUGUAUCCAAACAAACAAUAUUGGAGACAAGUUCUUCUAUAGAAAGCUUCAUAAGCCAGUUACUGACUACUGUGUCUGUAAAUAUACUCAAACUAUUUUGUAGUCUUGCUAUUUUAAAAAAUGUGUGGGUGUGGGAAGUGAUGUUGAAUGAAUUCAGGGUAAUUGGUGGUUCUUUGUAUUAGGAAAACUCACUAGUUAAGGGAAGUCUGUUUUCAUGAUUCAUGUAUGUUUAACUUAAAAAAAAAUUCUUCCAUCCUUCUCUCCAGUUUCCACUCUACCUCAUAAAUUCAAGUAAUGAAGGAAUUUAAAUAAUAGAAUUUUAUAACUGAAAGGAUUUUGGAGAGAAUCUAUUAACCCUCCUACUACAGUUGAGGAAAUAGAUGUCCAGUGAGGUCAAAUGAGAUCAUGUAGCUAGUUUAAAAACCCAAAUAACAUUUUAGUAGUUUGUUUCCAUUAGUAAACACUGUUCUGUUUGAUUUGCCCUAACAUGUUCAUAAUCAGAGUCAUAAUAAGGAAAAAUCACUAAUAUGUGUGUGGUACUUUCUUGUGCAUACCUCAGUCACUUCUCAAAAGAGGUCUGUAAGGUGUCGGUAUCCUGGUUUCCAUUCAGGGAGAGAACAGUCUAUGAGCCUAAGAGACCUGUCUGUGCCAGUCACUAUCAGAACAGUCUAAUGCUAUGUGUCUUCCUACCUUGGCAAAAGCAUUGGCUGGUCUCUGGACAGUUCUCAUAGACCACAGGAUUGGGCAGGGGGGAGCCACAUCUUCAUGUUAGGGCUCUAACCUGUACCAAUUAUUAACUGUUGUCUCUAUUUCAUCAUUUCUUAAAGGGAAAAAAAAGCACUUUUUAAAGAGCAUGAGAUUUUAAAUUUUUCAAAAGAAGGAUGCUGGAUCAUUAUAAGUAAGGCAUGUUUUAAAGAUCUUCUUAUCAACAGCUUAAAAAUUAGCCAGUAUAUACUGAACAUCCACUGUAUAAAAAGCACAUUAUGGGGUGCUCCAGUAGGUACAGCAGUGAUCGAGACAGAAUCAUAGCCUUCAGGGAAGAGGUAUAUGCAAUGUUCUCUCCUUCCAAAGAUUACCUAGAUAGAGAACUGUUCAUAAGAAAUAUCUUGGUACUGUCUACAUUACUCUUGAGAUAUAAAAUAUAUAUUAUUUCUUACGUCUGAAAUGAGUCAGUUGUUUCUAAAACAAUUUGUAUUAAAGUAUUCACAUUAAAAAUUUGUAAAAUACAGAAAAGUAGAGAGAAAAAAUCAUGAAUUUUUAACAUGGUAAUGAUUAUAUCAGUUUCGUUCUUGGCGUUUCUUUAACUUGAUGGGAUAGCUAAUGUUUUUUGUCAUUGCAUAGCUUUGUAAACUUGUCCUAAGGAUUAUAUAAUUUCAGCAUGAGUUAGUUUCUAAGUAUGUCAGAAAUCUAGCUUUUUUGUGGUAAUUGUUGUUUUACACAAAAUGAUUAAUAAAAGACUCUAAACUAACCUUGGCUUUAGAAAUGCUUUUUAAAUUUUAAAAUAGUGAAUGAGUAGCAGAUUACUUUCUAGUAUUUCUUUAAGGUCACCAAAAUCACUUAACUUGCUUAAAAUAUUGAUGGAAAUAUCAACUACGUACAGUUGACCUAAAUUAGAAAUGGGUGUUUUUUAAAUAGUGAAAUUUAUAAAUAUAAUAUGUAUAUUUUAAAAUACAGUUUAUAUUAUAGAGUUAUGUUCCUCUGUAAUAAUUUCUCUUUACACUGAAUCAUGUUCAGUUUUUAUUAUGCAGAUAAUUUAAUCUUACAGCUUUGAUCUUUUUUAAAAAAUAAAACAGCCAUUUGGAGUCUAAAU
rnacentral:lncRNA from 1 species